rnacentral:rRNA from 1 species
AAAGCGAGUCUGAAUAGGGCGAUUGAGUCGCGUGCCUAGACCCGAAGCGGAGUGAUCUACCCAUGGCCAGGUUGAAGCGCGUGUAAGAGCGCGUGGAGGACCGAACCCACUUCAGUUGAAAAUGGAGGGGAUGAGCUGUGGGUAGGGGUGAAAGGCCAAUCAAACUCCGUGAUAGCUGGUUCUCCCCGAAAUGCAUUUAGGUGCAGCGUCACGUGUUUCUUCCCGGAGGUAGAGCUACUGGAUGGACGAUGGGCCCUACAAGGUUACUGACUUCAGCCAAACUCCGAAUGCCGGGAAGUGAGAGCGUGGCAGUGAGACUGUGGGGGGAUAAGCUUCAUAGUCGAGAGGGGAAACAGCCCAGACCACCGGUUAAGGCCCCCUAAGCGUGUGCUAAGUGGGAAAGGAUGUGGAGUUGCUGAGACAACCAGGAGGUUGGCUUAGAAGCAGCCACCCUUGAAAGAGUGCGUAAUAGCUCACUGGUCAAGUGAUUCCGCGCCGACAAUGUAGCGGGGCUCAAGUACACCGCCGAAACCGUGGCAUUCAGU